CGGAAAUCAUGUGUAUGUUCAAAGGCUAACUUGAAGAGAAAUAGCAACGUCCGACUUUGUAACUGUCAGGAUUAGGCCCGGCUUCUUAUAAAGAACAUUUUCCACCACGCCAGCAACAGCAGGACGGAUGUUGAUCUUUGUCAUCUUCAUCAUCUCAUUAACAUCUGACACCCCGGGUGCAGUGGGGACCAAUAAGCGGCGGAUGCGGCUGGCGCCCGGCUGCGGGCGGCCCUCUCAAUGGUCUCUCCCACUAUGAAAGCGUUGGUGGAUGCCGCCUGGUUGGUGUGGAGCGUCGGGGCCUCCGUCUAUGACUACAUCCACACCAACGCCAUGGAGGAGCGCAUUAACACCCUGGAGGAUGUCAUCACAGUCCACCAGUGUGCCAUCGGGCUUCUGUCCGCCGGCAUUUUGGUGCUCUUCACCUACAUCCUCCUCAAGAAGCUCUGAGGAGGGUGUGAAGCAAACACUGACCACACAGACGCUACAUCUUCCUAAUACAUCUAAAUCUUUCUCAGGUUUGAUACAAAGAAAUAGUUGGCAUAGAAAAAUGAUUUUAGAAGCAGUAAACUGGUCAAUGUGUGUUAUUUUAAUAGAUACUAGUUAAGUAAAACGCCUUAUACUUAAAGCUUUUAGUAUGCGUCAUGGUACUUCACCUAUUUGCUAAAGGGAUCAUUAUUUUUUGUAACAAAUCUCUAAAUGUUUUCAUCCGAUCCGUCCAUGUGAACGGUACAUGUCAGGAACGCCUUGAUCCAAAGUCUUCAAUCUGCCACAAAGGUCCACGUGGACUCAAGGUUGAACCGACUAGUUUGGUGAGUAAGAGUCCAGCUUACCGUGACCUGAAAUGAAUUCCAUGUUUUAAGUAUGCUAAUUGUCAGUUCCACCCAAAUGAUAUCUGACAUAUGGCUGUAAACUGUUGUCUUAUGAAAGAAAUCACAUCUUAAAAUGCCUUGAUAGAACUGUAUGGGUGCAUUAUUUGUAUUAGAGUCCAUUAUCUAUUUAUAUAAACCUUUUACCUCGUAGUUGAUAGAUUCCACUGUUGGCACACAAAACAAAUUGAGGUUUUUGGUGUUAACUAUUGAAAUGUCUAACCAGUGCUGCUUGAUAUUUAUGGAUAUGUUCUUUUUAAGGCUGUAUUUCUUACCAUGAAAGUGAAUCUUAAUCAUUUUAACUUAACUAACCUGCAAAGAGAAAAGUUGUGUUUUAUUGACUACUAAUGUUGUGUAUCCCGAGUUUUCUGUGUGCAUUUACUUCCAUCGUCUCAGAUGGACCAAAACAGAGAAACACCAAGAAUAAAACGGUUUUAAUAUAU